rfam:Gorilla gorilla gorilla genomic chromosome, chr7, whole genome shotgun sequence
AUUAGGCGUGGUGGUGCAUGCCUGUAGUCCCAGCUACUCAGGAGGCUGAGGCAGGAGGAUUGCUUGAGCCCAGGAGUUUGAGGCUGCAGUGAGCUGUGAUCACACCACUGCACUCCAGCCUGGGCCACAGAGUGAGAUCCUGUCUCAA